GGAGAGGUGGCUGAGUGGUUGAAGGCGGCAGUCUUGAAAACUGUUGUAGGCUUCGGUCUACCGCGAGUUCGAAUCUCGCCCUCUCCG
rnacentral:tRNA from 1 species